rnacentral:ncRNA from 1 species
AAAAAGUUUGAUUCUUGCUUUAGUUUUUGGUUUUAGAAUUAUAUGUACAUGCAUAUUUUGGUGAGAGGGGGUAUAAAUAUUUGAGAUGUUUAUAUUUUAAUUAGGUGAUGUGAUUUUAUAGGAGUCGCAGUACGGAGCUUUAAGAAUUGAACGUAGGUUUGACUUAGUAAAUUUGAAGAGACUUGAUUAAAUUUUGUGCCAGCAGUCGCGGUUAGACUUAAAAGUCGAGUAAAGAUGUAUUGGUAAGAGUUAAUAUGGUAAUAUUUAAAGGUUAAUUAAGAUUUGGUUUAAUAAAAGGUGGAAUUGGUCUAUUAAAAAUAAAUUGAAGUUAGUGUUUAAAUUGGAAGAAGCUUGAAAAAUUAAGAUAUAAAACAGGAUUAGAUACCCUGCUAUACUUAGAAGAAAUAGAUUAACUUGAAUAUUAGUAGUUAUAGACUUUAAAUUCAAAGAAUUUGGCGGUAUUUUAGUCUUGUUAGAGGAACCUGUUCUAUAAAUGAUACUACACGAAAAAUCUUACUUACUUUUGUUUUUCAGUUUGUAUACCGUCAUUAUUAGAUAACCUUUGUUGAGAAAGUUAUUGAGAUGUAGUGAGUUAAAUAUAUAUUAGAUCAAGGUGCAGCUAAUAAGUAAGCAGAAAUGGGUUACAAUAAAAUUUAUUUAAACGUAUUGAUAGUUGAAUAUCUAUCAUGAAGGAGGAUUUAAUUGUAAUAGAAAUUUAAUAAGUUAAUAUGAUAUGAGAACUAAAAUAUGUACAUAUCGCCCGUCGCUUCCAUUUAAGGUGGAAUAAGUCGUAACAUAGUAGGUGUACUGGAAAGUGUACCUGGAAUUAU